rnacentral:rRNA from 1 species
GACGAACGCUGGCGGCGUGCUUAACACAUGCAAGUCGAACGGUGAAGCGCCUUCCUUUUUGGUGGGUGUGGAUGCGUGGCGAACGGGUGAGUAACCCGUGAGUAACCUGCCCCCUUCUUCUGGCUAACCGCAUGAAAGUGUGGCUAAUACGGGAUCUUCUGGAUCUAUCGACUACUGAGACUAGUCCAAAUCAUAUUUCGGUGAAACAUGGGCUCGCGGCAUAUACGCUUGUUGGUGGGGUGAUGGCCUACCAAGGCGGUGACGGGUAGCCGGCCUGAGAGGGUGGACGGUCACACGGGGACUGAGACACGGGCCAGACUCCUACGGGAGGCAGCAGUGGGGAAUAUUGCACAAUGUGCGGAAGACUGAUGCAGCGACGCCGCGUGAGGGAUGGAGGGCUGCGGGUUGUGAACCUCUUUCGCGAGUGAAGCAGGCGUGCAUCGUUUGUGGGUGGGUUGACUGUAGCUGGAUAAGAAGAGCCGGCUAACUACUUG